UACGAAGGAUUCGAGCGUUAUCCGGAUUUAUUGGGUUUAAAGGGUGCGUAGGCGGACCGAUAAGUCAGUGGUGAAAUCCUGUUGCUUAACAACAGAACUGCCAUUGAUACUGCCGGUCUUGAGUACAGUUGAGGUAGGCGGGAUGUGUCAUGUAGUGGUGAAAUACUUAGAUAUGACACAGAACACCGAUUGCGAAGGCAGCUUGCUAAACUGUAACUGACGCUGAGGCACGAAAGCAUGGGGAGCAAACAGG
rnacentral:rRNA from 1 species